AUCAUGCUAAUGUAAAAAAGAGAGAAAAAGUUUCAGAAACUUAAUGAACUGGCAGUAUAAUUCAUAAAUAUUCGGGAAUUCAUAAAUAUAUCGUUUUGAAGGAGAUAGCCCAAGGUAUAUUUCAGUACGAGGGAGAAAUUCAAGUUGAAGUGCAUUGAUUUAAAUCAUAUUGAAUCAUAUUUUAUGGUGAAUAUAUGUAGAUAUAUCGAAAUAAAUAUACAAAAUCCUAUUUCUUUCAAAGUUAUAUAUAUUUUCAAUAUUUCUAUCUGAUAAAUUAUCUUCGAUUCGUACAUUGUAUUAAUCAACGCAUUAUUUUCUGAUUUAUAUCUGGUUACGUUAAGAAAGAUUCUUUUUGAACAUCAUUAUAUUCGAAUACCUUUGAGAGAGAAGCAAAUCACGAAAGUUUGAUCCAUUUCGCUACUAUAACUACAACAACGUCCACGGAGAAUGUAUCGGUUACAAGCUGGAGAAGUUGCUUGUUGGAACUAUUUGAGAUCGUAAAUACCAGAGUCUAUAUGGUACGUAUACAUAUAUACAAUAUGUAUACGUAUAUAUACCUAUAUACAUACGUAUGGAACAAUUAUCUAUGUAAAACGAACGACGACAAUAGCCAACGUGGAUAUAUGGUGAAUGUACGAUUGCUCGAGGAAGGUACGCAACGUCCAAGCCUAUGAUGGUCAUUGUUAGGCUGUCCACGUUCUACCUGCCUUAUACGUUGGCAAGUAGAGGCAGACGCCACUCUGUAUCACUGCGGAUCCACGCAAAUGUAGCCACGGCAAGAAUUAUGCGCGUAAUCAGUGCCUCUUACCCAUAAUCUAUGACGCCGUUAUUAUUUAUUCGGUUAAUCAUUAUACUCAUGUGAAUUACUCGGAACCGGAGAAUAUUGCACGUUGGAUUUGGAUUACACGAGGGAAGUAUGUGCGGUGAAAUUUGUUAGAACGUACAUACGUAAGUAGGGAAUUAUAGAGAUGGACAAAGUAAUUGUUAAUUAAAUCUAAUAAGAGAAAUGAUCAAAAUAAUUAGAUGAAAUUUCUUCAUUUCGAUAGAUCGAACAACAUUCAAAGUAUGAAAAUCGAAGAAAGUACCACUUAAAUUUUUAUUGAUUUCUUUACAGAUUCGAUGGGACUUUCGAAUUUAUUUGGACAAGAUAUAUAUAUCACCUAAACAUGAAUAGAAUCUACUAAAAAUUUCAUUUAUCGAGCAAAAUUUUACUUAUUAAUUUUUUUACGUGUUACGUUAACGCGUCUCCCAUUUUCGUCGCAAACCUUCGAACAAUGUCUUCUCGUAUCAUUUAUCAAGAUUUGUAAAAUUAAAAAAGUGAAAAAAAAUAUUUAAAGUUAUCGAAGUCGAUGAACUGAUUGACUGAAUUUCUAUAAAGUACAGUCCUUUACAAAAAAUGUAUAGCCUUCGUCGUUCCAAUUCAAUAGAAAAGAAAGAAAGAACUAAAUUUUGAUGAUCAUCAGCUGACAAGUAGAGUCUCUCGAUACGGACAAUCUUUGUGACGAAAGAAUACGUACUCUAAAAAUGCACCCUCUGAAAACAAGUUGGUCGUUAUACAUAUCUCGGAGGCUUGUUGCCUUAAGGGUGAAAUAUCUAGUGUGUUGUCGAAGGCGAAUAUUGAAAAACGGUGUGAGUGUUGUUCGCCAUGUGGGUGACAGAAAGAGAGAGAAAGAGAGAGAGAAAAAGAGAGAGAGGGAAGGAGGGAGAAAAAAAAAGAGAGAGAGAGGAGGGAGGGAGGGAGAAAAAGAGAGAGAUAGAGCGAGAGAAAGCGAGAGGAAGAGAGAGAGAGAGAGAGAGAGAGAGAAGAUAGAGAGAGGGUAGAGAAGCUCGAACCCGUUGUGUAAUAGGUACAUGUAUUCGUACGUAUCAGGGUAAAUGGAGCGUGCUAGGUAACGGUGCGUCUCUCAGCUCGCCCCAGCAACCCCUGCUUCUCCGUCCUUCUACUCUUCCUCAGCCACCUUCUUCUCUCACCCCAUCUCCACUCAUCCCAUUUGAUAAACCACGGCGAUGACGUUUAGGUUUUGAUCUCUACGACAAUUUCACGGAGAUCAAUCGUCAAAUAGAAUAGGGAGAAUAGGGAGUUCCUUUGUUUUGAGAGAAAAAGAAAAAGGGGAAAUUGGUAAAGGAAAUUGUCCUCUCGUCGAAAUCUUGAAUUUUAUUGCUAUUCUAUCUUGACAUCUUGACACAAGGAAUUUGUUUACCAGAAGAGGGGUAGCAAUGGAGGAUAACAUGGUGGAAAUUCAAUUAUCAAGACGCAUCCACUAUUGUCAGGAAAUUGCGUUUCAGACUUGAAAAGAAGAAGCAAGGAUAUGAUUGAAAAUGAUGAAGCGAAGUUUGUUCUCGUGUAAUCGUGGCUUUUUAAACUUCUCUCUUCGUUUGAAAUUUAAUACAAGGCGAGCUGUUUUACGUCUCUACGGUAAAAGGUGACUGUCGGGUAAUGGAGCGUCCUUUAAAGGAUGCGCGCGAGCUUCCAUUUACGUUAAAAGUACUUCAACUUGACGCGUAACGAAAUUCGAUUUUCCGAUAAUUUGUCGCGAAAUGUCGUAAAUAUUCGCGAAUCGAAUUUCAACUGAGAUAUAGUGCAUAUUCGUGUCUAUUAAUAAUGCAAAAAAAAAAGACGAAAAAUUUCCUCUGUCGAUCUUUUGUUCGAGCUGUGAUAAUUUAAAUUAAAUAUAGUAUAUUAUAAAAAUCGUUAUCCAAAAUAUAUGUGUUCUAAUUUUUUCAAUACUUAAAGAAUCUAAUGCAUGCAUUAAUUUAAAUGCAUAACUAAUUGAAAUACCAACAAAAUAUAUCGAGCUGGUAUAAUUAAUUUUUUAUAUGAUUAAGUUUCAUGCUUGAGGAGAAACAAUAUAAGACGUUGACAAUGUUUGCGAGUAUUAGGUAUUAGUAAAAAAUAAAAAUAUUGUUAAGUCUUUUAUCGUAGGUAACAUUUUUUAUAUUAAAAUUUUUAGAUUUAAACUGAAUGUACAAUUGUAUUAUCUAUAUCAUAAAAAGCAUAAAAUAUUUCCUAUCGAUAAAUGGCAUUUAUAAUUAACAUUAUCAACUUACGACUAUAAUAGUAUGGAUUAAUGCAUUCAUAUAUUAUUCAAGCAUAUAUAGAUAACAAAAAUUGUG